UGGGGAAUAUUGCACAAUGGGCGAAAGCCUGAUGCAGCAACGCCGCGUGAGUGAUGAAGGUCUUCGGAUUGUAAAGCUCUGUCUUUUGGGACGAUAAUGACGGUACCAAAGGAGGAAGCCACGGCUAACUACGUGCCAGCAGCCGCGGUAAUACGUAGGUGGCGAGCGUUGUCCGGAUUUACUGGGCGUAAAGGGUGCGUAGGCGGAUGUUUAAGUGAGAUGUGAAAUACCCGGGCUUAACUUGGGUGCUGCAUUUCAAACUGGAUAUCUAGAGUGCAGGAGAGGAGAAUGGAAUUCCUAGUGUAGCGGUGAAAUGCGUAGNGAUUAGGAAGAACACCAGUGGCGAAGGCGAUUCUCUGGACUGUAACUGACGCUGAGGCACGAAAGCGUGGGUAGCAAACAGGAUUAGAUACCCUGGUAGUCCACGCCGUAAACGAUGAGUACUAGGUGUAGGAGGUAUCGACCCCUUCUGUGCCGCAGUAAACACAUUAAGUACUCCGCCUGGGAAGUACGAUCGCAAGAUUAAAACUCUAAAGUGAAUUGACGGAGUC
rnacentral:rRNA from 1 species